rnacentral:rRNA from 1 species
GAUGAACGCUGGCGGCGUGCCUAAUACAUGCAAGUCGAGCGAAUGGAUUAAGAGCUUGCUCUUAUGAAGUUAGCGGCGGACGGGUGAGUAACACGUGGGUAACCUGCCCAUAAUACUGGGAUAACUCCGGGAAACCGGGGCUAAUCCCGGAUAACAUUUUGAACCGCAUGGUUCGAAAUUGAAAGGCGGCUUCGGCUGUCACUUAUGGAUGGACCCGCGUCGCAUUAGCUAGUUGGUGAGGUAACGGCGCACCAAGGCAACGAUGCGUAGCCGACCUGAGAGGGUGAUCGGCCACACUGGGACUGAGACACGGCCCAGACUCCUACGGGAGGCAGCAGUAGGGAAUCUUCCGCAAUGGACGAAAGUCUGACGGAGCAACGCCGCGUGAGUGAUGAAGGCUUUCGGGUCGUAAAACUCUGUUGUUAGGGAAGAACAAGUGCUAGUUGAAUAAGCUGACACCUUGACGGUACCUAACCAGAGAGCCACGGCUAACUACGUGCCAGCCGCCGCGGUAA